rnacentral:rRNA from 1 species
GACGAACCGAGCGAACGUUGUUCGGAUUUACUGGGCGUAAAGGGCGCGUAGGCGGCCACCGCAAGUCGACUGUGAAAUCUCCGGGCUUAACCCGGAAAGGUCAGCCGAUACUGCGGGGCUAGAGUGCAGAAGGGGCAACUGGAAUUCUCGGUGUAGCGGUGAAAUGCGUAGAUAUCGAGAGGAACACCUGCGGCGAAGGCGGGUUGCUGGGCUGACACUGACGCUGAGGCGCGAAAGCCAGGGGAGCGAACGGG